AAUUUAAAAAUAAAAGACAAACAGUCAGAGGACCAAAAAUGCCACCAUGGCUAACCAGUACAGUAAACGAGGCAGUUAAAGGCAAAAAUGCAGCCUUUAAAUGUUUGAAGUCAAAUCCUACUGAGGAAAAUAGAAAGGAGAAUAAACUUUGGCAAGUAAAAGUCUAAUAUGGCAGGCCAAGAAAGAACCUGAGGAGCAACUAGCAAAGGACACAAAAACUGACAGCAAAAAAUGUUCUUUA